AUUAGAUAAAAAACCAAUGCCCUUCGGGGCUCCUUGGGUGAUUCAUAAUAACUUCACGAAUCGCAUGGCCUUGCGCCGGCGAUGGUUCAUUCAAAUUUCUGCCCUAUCAACUUUCGAUGGUAGGAUAGUGGCCUACCAUGGUGGCAACGGGUAACGGGGAAUUAGGGUUCGAUUCCGGAGAGGGAGCCUGAGAAACGGCUACCACAUCCAAGGAAGGCAGCAGGCGCGCAAAUUACCCAAUCCCGAUACGGGGAGGUAGUGACAAUAAAUACUGAUACAGGGCUCUUUUGGGUCUUGUAAUUGGAAUGAGAACAAUCUAAAUCCCUUAACGAGGAACAAUUGGAGGGCAAGUCUGGUGCCAGCAGCCGCGGUAAUUCCAGCUCCAAUAGCGUAUAUUAAAGUUGUUGCAGUUAAAAAGCUCGUAGUUGAACCUUGGGCCCGUCCUGCCGGUCCGCCUCACCGCGAGUACUGGUCCGGAUGGGCCUUUCUUUCUGGGGAAUCCCAUGGCCUUCACUGGC
rnacentral:rRNA from 1 species